AUAGCGUAUAGUACUGUGAAGGAAAGGUGAAAAGCACCCCGGGAGGGGAGUGAAAAAGAACCUGAAACCCUGUGCCUACAAGCACCUAGAGCGCGUCAAAGCGUGAUAGGGUACUUUUUGUAGAACGGUCCGGCGAGCGAUUGUAUGCAGCAAGGUUAAGGACUUAAGGUCUGGAGCCGAAGCGAAAGCGAGUUUGAAAAGGGCGUUAAGUUGCAUAUAAUGGGCCCGAAACCGGGUGACCUACCCAUGGUCAGGUUGAAGUGGAAGUAAAAUUCCAUGGAGGACCGAACCGACCUCCGUUGAAAAGGCGGCGGAUGAACUGUGGGUAGCGGAGAAAUUCCAAUCGAACCCGGAGAUAGCUGGUUCUCCCCGAAAUAGUUUUAGGACUAGCCUCAAGUUAGAUACCUGGAGGUAAAGCACUGAAUAGCCUAGCGGCCGAGAGGUUAGCGAAGCUUAUCAAACUCAGAAUGCCAGAGUAUUGAUGCUUGGGAGUCAGACAGUGUCAGAUAAAUGUCAUUGUCAAAAGGGAAACAGCCCAGAUCUACAGCUAAGGUCCCAAAGUCAGGUUAAGUGGAAAACGAUGUGAAGAUACGCAGACAACCAGGAUGUUGGCUCAGAAGCAGCCACUCAUUCAAAGAGUGCGUAAUAGCUCACUGGUCGAGCGUCUUUGCGCGGAGAAUUUAACGGGGCUAAACCUGACACCGAAGCUUAGGCAACAUAGUAAUAUGUUGGGUAGGGGAGCGUUGUAUACGCGGAGAAACAGUAGCGUAAGCGGCUGUGGAGUGUAUAGAAGUGAGAAUGCCGGAAUGAGUAGCGCGAAUGCAGUGAGAAUCUGCAUGGCCGAAAGCCUCAGGUUUUUGGAGGAAGGUUCGUCCGCUCCAAGUUAGUCGGGAGCUAAGGUGAGGCCGGAAGGCGUAGCCGAUGCACAGACGGUAGAGAUUCCGUCACCACCAAAAGAGUUAAGCACAGGGACACAUUUGAAGUCUCAGAGCCGGGUGUUGGUUCCGGUAGAGAUCGAGGGAAAUUAGUACCGAAGUCUGAGAUGGAAGAUGGCGAGAAAAGCUGUGUGUAUUUCUGAGGUGCCCGUACCGCAAACCGACACAGGUAGGUAGGAAGAAGAUUCUAAGGCCAACGGGAGAAGGGUUGUUAAGGAACUCGGCAAAUUGACCCCGUAACUUCGGGAGAAGGGGUGCUCCAGAGAUGGAGCCGCAGAGAAUCGGCCCAAGCAACUGUUUACCAAAAACACAGGUUUGUGCUAAAUCGAAAGAUGACGUAUACGAGCUGACGCCUGCCCGGUGCUGGAAGGUUAAGAGGAGAUGUGCAAGCAUUGAAUCGAAGCCCCAGUGAACGGCGGCCGUAACUAUAACGGUCCUAAGGUAGCGAAAUUCCUUGUCAGGUAAGUUCUGACCCGCAUGAAAGGCGUAAUGAUUUGGGCACUGUCUCAACAGCCCGCCCGGCGAAAUUGUAGUACCGGUGAAGAUGCCGGUUACCCGCGACAAGACGGAAAGACCCCAUGGAGCUUUACUGUAGCCUAAUAUUGGGUUUCGAUGUUGCAUGCACAGGAUAGAUGGGACACAGGGAAACAGGAGCUUUGGCUUCUGCGGAGUGGCCGUUGGGAUACCAUCCUUGCGAUAUUGGAAUUCUAACCUGCGGCUCUGAAUCGAGUCGGGGGACAUUGUUAGGUGGGCAGUUUGACUGGGGCGGUCGCCUCCUAAAAAGUAACGGAGGCGUUCAAAGGUUCGCUCAGCUUGAACGGAAAUCAAGCAAAAGAGUGCAAACGCAGAAGCGAGCCUAACUGCGAGACUGACGGGUCGAGCAGUAACGAAAGUUGGAGUUAGUGAUCCGGUGGUAUGUGAGUGGAAAUGCCAUCGCUCAACGGAUAAAAGUUACCCUGGGGAUAACAGGCUGAUCUCCCCCAAGAGUCCACAUCGACGGGGAGGUUUGGCACCUCGAUGUCGGCUCAUCGCAUCCUGGGGCUGUAUUCGGUCCCAAGGGUUUGGCUGUUCGCCAAUUAAAGCGGUACGCGAGCUGGGUUCAGAACGUCGUGAGACAGUUCGGUCCCUAUCUGUCGUGGGCGCAGGAUAUUUGAUGGGAGCUGUCCCUAGUACGAGAGGACCGGGACGGACGUACCUCUGGCGCACCAGUUGUUCCGCCAGGAGCAUAGCUGGGCAACUACGUACGGAUCGGAUAAACGCUGAAAGCAUCUAAGCGUGAAGCCGACCCAAAGAUAAGAUAUCCCAUUGU
rnacentral:rRNA from 1 species